GACGAACGCUGGCGGCGUGCCUAAUACAUGCAAGUAGAACGCACAGGAUGCACCGUAGUUUACUACACCGUAUUCUGUGAGUUGCGAACGGGUGAGUAACGCGUAGGUAACCUGCCUGGUAGCGGGGGAUAACUAUUGGAAACGAUAGCUAAUACCGCAUAAGAACAUUUACUGCAUGGUAGAUGUUUAAAAGGUGCAAAUGCAUCACUACCAGAUGGACCUGCGUUGUAUUAGCUAGUAGGUGAGGUAACGGCUCACCUAGGCGACGAUACAUAGCCGACCUGAGAGGGUGAUCGGCCACACUGGGACUGAGACAUGGCCCAGACUCCUACGGGAGGCAGCAGUAGGGAAUCUUCGGCAAUGGGGGGAACCCUGACCGAGCAACGCCGCGUGAGUGAAGAAGGUUUUCGGAUCGUAAAGCUCUGUUGUUAAGGAAGAACGAGUGUGAGAAUGGAAAGUUCAUACUGGGACG
rnacentral:rRNA from 1 species